UCCCUGGUUGUCUAGUGGUAAGGAUUCGCUUUGCCCGCCGCGGCCGGGGUUCGAUUCCGUCAGGGAA